CAUUUUCUNCCNCCGAAUACAUUAGCAUGGGAUAAUGGAAUAGGACCCUGUCCUCCUAUUUUCAGUUGGUUUUGGCAGCGCGAGGACUAGGGUAAUGAUUAAUAGGGAUAGUUGGGGGCAUUAAUAUUUAAUUGUCAGAGGUGAAAUUCUUGGAUUUAUGAAAGAUUAACUUCUGCGAAAGCAUCUGCCAAGGAUGUUUUCAUUAAUCAAGAACGAAAGUUAGGGGAUCGAAGACGAUCAGAUACCGUCGUAGUCUUAACCAUAAACGAUGCCGACCAGCGAUUAGGAGACGUUGAAUACAAAACACCACCAUCGGCGCGGUCGUCCUUGGCGUUCGUGUUCACGCACGAGCGCGAGGGCGGUUUAGCCCGGUGGCACCGGUGAAUGACUCCUACCAGCUUGNGAGAAGAAUGCNUUCUAGUUGNGG
rnacentral:rRNA from 1 species